AGAUAAUUAUCCUAGAAUUAAUGAAAUAAGCAGAAUUUCUCAAGUGCAUGUGUUAUGCUUCCACACAGUAACUGCAGAGAAGUCAUUGUAUUUGUUUAGUUUUAUAUGAAGUUUUAACUCAAGUCAUAUGGGUAACCAUUACUGCUAUUUUAAGCUCUGUUUACUGUUUUUAUAUUAUACUUGGUGUAUAGGCUGGAAGGGUCGCAGGUAGCUGGGAGAAAACAACCAGUUCCUCAGCUAAAUAAUAAAAUAGAAAACACCCAUGUUGAUCAGCAACAGCCAAAAGACUUUGUAGGAAAAAAAAACCUGAUAUGAAUAGCUCAUAAAUGAAAAUAAAAACUGGGCUACUUGUGCUAGGCAGAACUAGCAUAAUUCUUAGCUAAUGACUUAGCCACAUCUUCUAGUAUCAAUUCACGGUGCAGUUGUUGUUUCAGUUGAACUUGAUCUGUCUCCAGUUGAAAAUAAGAAGCCGAAAGUCUAAAAGAAACACAUUAGUUUAACAAAACAAUUGUAAGAAGCAAAUCUGCCGACUUUAUCAGUGUAAACAGUGUAAUAGCGCCACUAAGCUUAUGCAUAGUAACAGUAACUAAGGGGCGGGGCUUCGCUCAGAGCGGAAAUUGAUUCGAAUCAAAAUGGCGCACGUUCACCUACGAGAGAAACACCGAUUUGUUUACCACCGGUACUAAAAGUUCGCUUGUCAUGGAUGUUACUCCCAUCAUAAACAUAAAGUCACUGUUGAUCGGCCAAGAUGUGUCUCCUGAGUGAACUGCAGUUGAUACUGAAGACAUGAGGUCGACUGAAGGUGGCGCUGACGGACAGCUGACCACGAUGGACUGAGCAAAAUGGGAAAGGUUCGUCCUCAGAGGAGCAUGAAGAUGUGCAGGGGUGGGACCCUCAGCUGCACUGGAACAAAGCCAGGAGGGAAAAUCACAGACAUUUGAACCGAAAAUGGCAGGAAGGAGGAAAGAAACGGAAAGAAACAGAAGUGGAUGGGAGGGAGUGUCACAGAGGGAUUACAGAGGAGACUGAUCGAUGACAGCGA